AUGCAUCGACCGGGAAUCGAACCCGGGCCGCCCGCGUGGCAGGCGAGCAUUCUCGCCGGUGAUGAUGAAUGAUGAAACA
rnacentral:tRNA from 1 species